ensembl:rRNA nuclear encoded rRNA 5S 169
GUCUAUGGCCAUAGCAUCCUGAACGGCGCCGGAUCUUGUCUGGACUCUGAAGCUAAACAGGGUCGGGCCUGGUUAGUAAUUGGAUGGGAGACUGCCUAGGAAUACCAGGUGCUGUAGACU